rnacentral:rRNA from 1 species
ACCCCAAACCGACUCAGGUUGUCAGGUAGAGAAUACUAAGGUGAUCGAGAGAAUCGUGGUUAAGGAACUCGGCAAAAUGCCCCCGUAACUUCGGGAGAAGGGGGGCCGGAUUGGUGAAGGGAUUUACUCCUGGAGCUAUGAAGGCCGCAGAGACCAGUGGGAAGCGACUGUUUACUAAAAACACAGGUCCGUGCUAAGUCGCAAGACGAUGUAUACGGACUGACGCCUGCCCGGUGCUGGAAGGUUAAGAGGAGAAGUGC